rnacentral:ncRNA from 1 species
UGCGCAGGGCGUGCUUCAUCACGAUCGUCGGGAACGACACCCCCUUGAGGCGUGCAGUCCUGAUAUACUGCGCGGUCAUCACCUCGGUCAUCGAGGCCCGGGUCAUCCGGGCGAUAUAGCCCAUGCCGUAAAGCGCGAUGGUCAGCACCGGCAGGAAGAAGUUCUCGAAGGUGGGAUUG